rfam:Ictidomys tridecemlineatus contig032108, whole genome shotgun sequence.
GGGGCUGUGGCUCAGUGGUAGAGCUCUUGCCUAGCACGUGCAAGGUGCUGGGUUCAGUCCUCAGCAUCACCU